UACGUAGGUGGCAAGCGUUAUCCGGAUUUACUGGGCGUAAAGAGCGCGCAGGCGGUCGAUCAAGUCGAGUGUGAAAGCCCCCGGCUCAACUGGGGAGGGUCACUCGAUACUGAUCGACUUGAAGGCAGGAGAGGGAAGCGGAAUUCCCGGUGUAGUGGUGAAAUGCGUAGAUAUCGGGAGGAACACCAGUGGCGAAGGCGGCUUCCUGGCCUGUUCUUGACGCUGAGGCGCGAAAGCUAGGGGAGCAAACGGG
rnacentral:rRNA from 1 species